AUUGAACGCUGGCGGCAGGCCUAACACAUGCAAGUCGAACGAGUGGCGGACGGGUGAGUAAUGUCUGGGAAACUGCCCGAUGGAGGGGGAUAACUACUGGAAACGGUAGCUAAUACCGCAUACCAUGGGAUGUGCCCAGAUGGGAUUAGCUAGUAGGUGGGUUAACGGCUCACCUAGGCGACGAGCCCUAGCUGGUCGGAGAGGAUGACCAGCCACACUGGAGCUGAGACCGUGUCCCGACGCCUACGGGAGGCAGCAGUGGGGAAUGUUGCGCAAUGGGCGCAAGCCUGAUGCAGCCAUGCCGCGUGUAUGGAGGAGGCCUUCGGGUUGUGAAGUACUUUCAGCGAGGGGGCGUUACUCGCAGAAGAAGCACCGGCUAACUCCGUGCCAGCAGCCGCGGUAAUAC
rnacentral:rRNA from 1 species